GCGUGAGGAACCUGUCCCGGUCUCUGGGAUAACAGUUGGAAACGACUGCUAAUACCGGAUGACGUCGGAGCGCCGCAUGGCGCACUGACGAAAGGGUUGCUGGAUCGGGAGGGCCUCGCGACCUAUCAGCUAGUUGGUGGGGUAACGGCCUACCAAGGCAUCGACGGGUAGCUGGUCUGAGAGGAUGAUCAGCCACACUGGGACUGAGACACGGCCCAGACUCCUACGGGAGGCAGCAGUGGGGAAUCUUGCGCAAUGGGCGAAAGCCUGACGCAGCAACGCCGCGUGCGGGAAGAAGGCUUUCGGGUUGUAAACCGCUUUCAGCAGGAACGAAAAUGACGGUACCUGCAGAAGAAGGUGCGGCCAACUACGUGCCAGCAGCCGCGGUGAUACGUAGGCACCAAGCGUUGUCCGGAUUUAUUGGGCGUAAAGAGCUCGUAGGCGGUUCGGUAAGUCAGGUGUGAAAACUUUGGGCNUAACCCAAAGCCUGCAUCUGAUACUGCUGUGACUUGAGUUCGGUAGGG
rnacentral:rRNA from 1 species